rnacentral:sRNA from 1 species
AAUCUGAAUGUACAUUUUCUCUUAUGUCAGAUAAGGUGAGACUAUUUAAUGGUAACUUUUCUUCAUUUUGCAAAUAGGGUUUAAUACCAGUUCUAUCUUAGAAAUGUCUCAGCCCCCCACAGUGUGAUCUGACUCCCAAAGCUUUCUUUUUCAUAAUCCAAUAGUUUCAUUUGGUCUGAAUUUCUCAUAUUAAAAUUGUGUCUUUUUAUCUUCCUUGGGAUGGCCCUAGUUUUUAAACACUUUUUAAAUGUGCAUAUUUAUUUCCUUUGUAGAACUUAAACCAGUCAGUAGCCCAUGACUGGACAUCAGGUUUACAAAGGCUUAUUUUGAAGAAAGAAGAUGAAAUCAGAGCUGCGGACUGCUGCAGAAUUCAGUUACAGCUUCCCGGGAAGCAGGACAAAUCUGGGCGACCGACGUUCUUUACAGCUGUGUUCAAUACGUUCACCCCUGCCAUCAAGGAGUCCUGGGUCAACAGCUUACAGAUGGCCAAGCUCGCCCUAG